GAACCGCGUGAAGGAUCAUUAAUGAGAGGGGUCUCUUCGACCCCGGGAGCUUCGGCGCCCAACUCUUCACCCCUUGCUUACAUACACCUAUUGCUUUGGCGGGCUCUGGGGCUUACCCCCGCCGGCUCACGCUGGUGCUUGCCCGUCAGAGGCCUAGCGAACUUCGUCUAUUAGUGUCGUCCGAGCAUAAAUACAAUAGUAAAAACUUUCAACAACGGAUCUCUUGGUUCUGGCAUCGAUGAAGAACGCAGCGAAAUGCGAUAAGUAAUGUGAAUUGCAGAAUUCAGUGAAUCAUCGAAUCUUUGAACGCACAUUGCGCCCCUCGGUAUUCCGGGGAGCACGCCUGUUCGAGCGUCAUUGCGACCCCUCAAGCUGCGCUUGGUAUUGGGUCCUCGCCCCUUCGGGCGGGCCCGAAAGUCAGUGGCGGUUCGGUGUGACUUCGAGCGUAGUAAAUUACCUCCCGCUUGGAAGGCUGACGCUGUGACCGGCCAAAACGCCCUAAUACAUCAAUGAUUGACCUCGGAUCAGGUGAGGAUACCCGCUGAACUUAA
rnacentral:rRNA from 1 species